ensembl:lncRNA
CCCCUUUUGGAUGGCGGGCAAGUGGACGUGUGCGAGUGCCAUCAGCUGGGGCCGUGAGAUGUCUGCAAUGCCCUUAAAAACAGGAGAGAAGGGAGUUUUUUGACACGACAAUCCCAGCAGUGCUGUUAACAAGCACGUGCCUUCUUUCCUCCCCUGCCAAUGGCUAAACAGUUGCUGAGGAAGCCUUUACCCCUCUUUUAAGCAUCUUUCCUGCUGCUUCCUCAUGUCAUUGGAAGCUGCUCAGAGAAGCCUGUUUAGCUACAGGCAAGCGCGAGUUCAGUGGGCCCUCACUUCUCCUUAUAAACUCUGCAGAAGCCUACAGAAGACGUGAUAGAGACCUGCAUGGACUAUUUGGAUGCAAAAAAGUUUUGUCUUGGAGAGCUGCUGUCCUCCCAGAACCAAGAUCCACCAGCACGCCGGGUGAUUUCCUUGCUGGAACUGCACAUGCACCAGAUAAGGCUGGGGCAGGGUUAACCCUGCUGGAGUUUCUGCUCGCCAGAGGAGAGCGUUGCUGUUGAGAUAACUUCCAGGCUAAUGGGGGAAUGAGCAGUAGAAAAGAGCUUUCCUUGCUCUCCUCAUGGGGAGCAAGCCCAACCCUUGAGGAGGCAGGAGUAGAAAUAUUUGGUUUUAGCGUUUUCAGGACAGCUCAGUUAUUCUAAACUUUAUUACAGUUGAAUCAGAACACGGCCUAGUCCCAAACAAGCUUUUGCCUGCUUGCAAACAGCCCCCCUCCCCAUUUUUGUUCAGAGCCCAAGAUGAACCCCACAGCUCUGCUAGGGUUACUCCAGGCCAGGUUCUUCCUUCCUUGCAGCCAUCUCAGCCCUGUGCUUUGUUCCCUCUUAACCUCAGUUCUGCCCUGGGGAUGGGAACGGUUGUGCUCCUGCUCUGUCCCAGCUGGUGGGCGCCACGUGGCUCAGCACCACCCUCGCUGCGCUGCAGGGCAGGAGAGGCUGUAGCACCUUUCUCUGCAUCCUCUGAGCUAACUGACAGGCUUGCCGGGAGCCUCAAACUCAGCCAGGCAUCCCCAGCCCGACGCGCCUUCCAAACGCUGAAAAACGAGGCAGAUGCAGCCACGUUCCCGCCCCAGGAAUAGAUGCUGCUCUGUCCAAGACUUGGCAUGAAACACCUGCAAGCCCCAAACCGCCAGGAUGGCGCUCUCCUUCCCCUGGAAGGACGGUGCCGACUGCUGUUUCUUUUAUGUGCCUGCUCAUAGCAUGCAGUGUGCAAAACUGAAGUGUAACAAUAUGCUUGGAUAAAUGCAGAGAGCAGGGCAAGAGUCCUGGUGCUCAAAGCCAGGAGUGCUUGGCACCAGCUCCACUGUACAAGGUAGCAUUGUGUAGUUAAGCUACUGCAGCUCAUUAAAUACUUUACAUUCAC